rnacentral:rRNA from 3 species
AGACCCGAAACCCGGUGAUCUAGCCAUGGGCAGGUUGAAGGUUGGGUAACACUAACUGGAGGACCGAACCGACUAAUGUUGAAAAAUUAGCGGAUGACCUGUGGCUGGGGGUGAAAGGCCAAUCAAACCGGGAGAUAGCUGGUUCUCCCCGAAAGCUAUUUAGGUAGCGCCUCGUGAAUUCAUCUCCGGGGGUAGAGCACUGUUUCGGCUAGGGGGCCAUCCCGGCUUACCAACCCGAUGCAAACUGCGAAUACCGGAGAAUGUUAUCACGGGAGACACACGGCGGGUGCUAACGUCCGUCGUGAAGAGGGAAACAACCCAGACCGCCAGCUAAGGUCCCAAAGUCAUGGUUAAGUGGGAAACGAUGUGGGAAGGCCCAGACAGCCAGGAUGUUGGCUUAGAAGCAGCCAUCAUUUAAAGAAAGCGUAAUAGCUCACUGGUCGAGUCGGCCUGCGCGGAAGAUGUAACGGGGCUAAACCAUGCACCGAAGCUGCGGCAGCGACACUGUGUGUUGUUGGGUAGGGGAGCGUUCUGUAAGCCUGUGAAGGUGUGUCGUGAGGCAUGCUGGAGGUAUCAGAAGUGCGAAUGCUGACAUAAGUAACGAUAAAGCGGGUGAAAAGCCCGCUCGCCGGAAGACCAAGGGUUCCUGUCCAACGUUAAUCGGGGCAGGGUGAGUCGACCCCUAAGGCGAGGCCGAAAGGCGUAGUCGAUGGGAAACGGGUUAAUAUUCCCGUACUUGGUGUUACUGCGAAGGGGGGACGGAGAAGGCUAUGUUGGCCGGGCGACGGUUGUCCCGGUUUAAGCGUGUAGGUGUGUGUUCCAGGUAAAU